GAGUUUGAUCGUGGCUCAGAACGAACGCUGGCGGCAUGCCUAACACAUGCAAGUCGAACGGGAUCCGGACUUCGGUCCGGUGAGAGUGGCGGACGGGUGAGUAACGCGUGGGAACCUGCCCAAUGGUCUGGGAUAACCGCGGGAAACUGCGGCUAAUACCGGAUAAGCCCGAGAGGGGAAAGAUUUAUCGCCGAUGGAGGGGCCCGCGUCCGAUUAGGUAGUUGGUGAGGUAACGGCUCACCAAGCCGACGAUCGGUAGCUGGUCUGAGAGGAUGAUCAGCCACACUGGGACUGAGAUACGGCCCAGACUCCUACGGGAGGCAGCAGUGGGGAAUAUUGGACAAUGGGGGCAACCCUGAUCCAGCAAUGCCGCGUGAGUGAUGAAGGCCUUAGGGUUGUAAAGCUCUUUUGGCGGGGACGAUGAUGACGGUACCCGCAGAAUAAGCCCCGGCUAACUUCGUGCCAGCAGCCGCGGUAAU
rnacentral:rRNA from 1 species